GACGAACGCUGGCGGCGUGCUUAACACAUGCAAGUCGAACGGAAAGGCCCUGCUUUUGUGGGGUGCUCGAGUGGCGAACGGGUGAGUAACACGUGAGUAACCUGCCCUUGACUUUGGGAUAACUUCAGGAAACUGGGGCUAAUACCGGAUAGGAGCUCCUGCUGCAUGGUGGGGGUUGGAAAGUUUCGGCGGUUGGGGAUGGACUCGCGGCUUAUCAUCUUGUUGGUGGGGUAGUGGCUUACCAAGGCUUUGACCGGUAGCCGGCCUGGGAGGGUGACCGGCCACAUUGGUACUGCGAUACGGCCCAGACUCCUACGGUAGGCAGCAGUGGGGAAUAUUGCACAAUGGGGGGAAGCCUGAUGCAGCAACGCCGCGGGCGGGAUGACGGCCUUCGGGUUGUAAACCGCUUUCGCCUGUGACGAAGCGUGAGUGACGGUAAUGGGUAAAGAAGCACCGGCUAACUACGUG
rnacentral:rRNA from 1 species